CCAUGUCAUGCCUAAUCACCUCUCCUCAAUACCUCUUAGGUCUCCCUCUGCCUCGCCGAACGCCGACAAUCGCCAGCCGCUCACAACUCUUCACCGGGGCAUCAGUCCCUCUUGGCUACGACCUGAGAUCCAAUCAUCACGUCCCUGCCUACUUCGCUUUGCUCGGCGCUAAACUUGCACUCCAGGUAUUCAGUCUUAGAUCUGCUUAUUUUAAAACCCUUAGACUCGAGAGUCUGUCUCCAUAUCUCUAACCUCUCAAUAACACCGACCCUCGUC
rnacentral:lncRNA from 1 species